rnacentral:misc_RNA from 1 species
GCCGCGCACGCGUCUGUCUCUCACGCUCACUACUCUGUGCUGCAAGCGUGCCCGCUCGCGGCAUCACGCAUUACUCUGUGCAUGUUCGAAAUUUUAAAAUAUACAAGUUUUUGGAUGCCAUUUUGAAUUUGUUUCUUUUAUAUUUCAAUAAAGGGGUUUUGCGUUCGUAUAUUUUAUCGAAUUUUUUACUUUUUUAAAAGACUGUGUUGUGUGGACAUAUCCGGUGUUCAGUGAUAGUGCUUUAGAUUGGAUUUGCUCUAUUGUAUACGAUCGCAACAUAAUCUACAUUGACACCAACAAACACGAUGGGCUAGCGCUACCACUGCAACUCGAACGUAAAGAUGAACGACAGUCGAGAGCGAAUUCGUCGUGAGAGGGAGAGAGAGAAGAAUACGUAUACCUCUCCCCGUCUCGCCUUGCGCAGAGUGCUGUUACUGUCUGAAGGGAGACAAUUCAGAGAGGCAGCGGCCAUAUUGUCGCGGCUUGGGCCCGGCGUGCUGCAAUCAGUGGCGACAGAGCUGCCGAUAGAUCUGCUUGUUGAGUCCCUGCCGCACUCCGCUCAUCUGCUUGAGACACUUCUUAACAGACUAAUAUCCCUGGAGAUCCUCCCUCGCCCGGACGUGCAAUGCGAGUCAAUCGCAUGGCGGCUGGUGUGCCUGCUGGGCGGCGAGCAGGGCGCGGCGCUGCGUGCGCGCACCACGCGGCUGGCGGCGGCGCUCGCGCAGUACACGCCGCUCGCGAGAGACACUGUCGACACCAGGCGGCGGCAGCUCGACCAAGCUGUACAGGGUCUGGGCACGCACGGUCUGACUGCUGACUCAUCUGGCACGCUGAUAUCGCUCCACGUGGCGAUGAAGAACGAGCUGCAGCGCCACGUCGACGUCUACAAGCAGGCGCUCCACAAACUAGAGGAGCUGUCUCCAGUGACAAUAAACCAGGACCCGGCUUCGUCAUCCCACCAGCGUCUCUUGGCACUCUCUCACGGAGACGUAGAGCGACGGCUGAUCGACAACAAGUCUCUGCUGACCAUAGUGGACAAACCAGCACUAAGGCAGCUGCCGACCCUGGUGUCAGCUUUGGCAGCCAGGGUGGAAAGCGAUAAAGCGGUUCUGGCGUGUGUUGGCCAGAUCAAAAGGAGCGAUCCGACCCUGGAUUUGACAGAUACGAGGCCAGUAGCGGGCGUGCUGAUGAGCUACUCGCGUGGCUGUGCGGCGGUUCUUGAACAGAUGACGGAGGCGGAGCCCCAGGGCUCCGAGACCCGGCACAGCGAGCGCUCGCAGACUGACUCGGCCAGCGACGGAUACCACUCCGACAGUGACGACUCGCACCAACAUCCUGACAGGAGCAAGCUAGUAUCGCAGUACGCAGGGGUGUGGGCGCGCGCGGCGGACGAGGCGUUACCUGCGCUUGCGUCGCUCGAGCCGUUGCGCGCCACGCCGCAUCUCAAGUACAAGAUCGUCUUCUCUGUCGUCGUUCUGUCGUUCCGCGCAGCGAUCAGCCUGCGCGACCGGCGACUCAACGAGGUGAAGACCCUGCUGGGAGCGGAAGGCGACCUUGCUUCAUCAGACCCUGCAAUAGCUAGGCUGCAAGCAGCCGCCCUGAGAGUGCUACAAACCACGGCGCAUAGCUUUCCACUGGGCGAUGCUGAACGGACCGUUGUCAACCAGGUGCUGACGACUCUCCGCGAGUACCCGUGUCUGGGCGGGUGCGCUGCGCUGCACGCGCUCGUAGCCGCCGCCUGCCGCGCCGCCUGGACUAUCAGCCUGCACUCCCCGCCCCUGAGGAUCGAUACCGACUUCACACCUGUGGUGAUGAACCCAGAGAAACACGUGCGCUUCUCCUCAGGCGAGGCUCGCGAGCGCCGCUCUGACCUGAUCAAGUCGUUCGUCUGGCCAGCACUGAUGGACGGGCCUCGCUGCGUCUUCCGAGCUGUUGUGCUCACUUAAGCUCUUGCCAAAAUGUAGAGUCGAAAUGGUGAGUUGUCACACUCCGAGCGCUCGCCACCGCACUUUAUGUGACGCCCGCAGUGUGACAUCACAUUUCUGUUCACCGCACUGCCGGCGGCGUAGCAUUAGCGCCCCGUCACGCCGGAAAUGUGACGAGAGUUAAAUUUUUCAUUACAAUCACUGACCAACCUUGCCAACCCUGGUCACUAAUAGUGACUGGGUCCAAUAACAAGCCACGAUGAUAAGUUAGUGCUAUUAUAAAUGUACUGCAUUUGAACUGCACGCCAGCUGCAAGACUGCUACUAGGAUCCAGUUUGUGUGCGGUUGGCAUAGCUGAGUGGAUGCGAACCAACUGUAAUCUAACAAUAAUAAAAUGCAGUUCUUUUACAGUUCGAUUGUAGUCGGUUAAAAACAUUCUGUUGCAGUCUGGAUUAAAAAAAAUAUAUUAAAAAUGCAAUAUCGCUGUUUGCAUACCGUCCUACCGCUAGGAUAGUUUGAAUGUGAAGAUAAGUUAUUAUUUAUGUAUCAUUACAAUCCAUUUCGUUUUUAACUUAACGUAAGCUCACGACUAUAUUCCUAAUUGGGGUAGUCAGAGGUACGUUAAUCGCCUCACCGAGCUUUCUGUCAGAUCAAUUCCGUUGUUAACUUGACUGAUAUUUUAUCAAGAGAAUAAAACUCAUAUUCUGAUACUAUUUGUUAUAAUUGUUAUACGGUAUUGUAACGAUGGAUUAUUUAAAUCCAACCGGGGGUUAUUUAGGGUUGAUGGGGUUGGUAAUCCACCUCACAACCCACACGAU